AAAAAGGGCUUCUGUCGUGAUUGGCACAGGGAGGGUGAGGUGUUCUCAUCCUCUCUGCGGAAUCGCUAUCAAGAGAUUUCGGAAGCACAAUUUUUAAAUCCCGAGGCUGCUGAUAACCUGCUGUUUCGGCGCCUCA
rnacentral:snRNA from 1 species